GACAACGCGCAUCAGGAUGGCCUCCGCAUCACUGCCACAUACGAAGAACCUCUCCGCACAUCAGGCUUUGGCUUGGCUUCAGGAAAUGGACGAAGCAGACUCUGACAGAGGAGAGGUUUUGUUUGCCCAGCAGGUCACUUAUACCUCAUCAGAAGAGUUCGAAAAGGAGACGAGAACCCAACAUGCCUCCACGGAAGAUGCGCCGUGGUACCGGGAAGCCCUGUCUGAGCCAGACGGCAAAAGAUGGCACUGUGUGGGUAUAGGAGGACAUUGGAAGUGGAACACCCAGUGCAUCAGCAAAUGAUAUUUAUAUAAACCCAUUUAGAAUGUUCAUCCUGCAAAUAUAACUCUCACCAGCAUGGAAAAAAACUGCUAAUGUGGAUCAUGCUCAGGCGGGGUUUAGAGCAACAGGGACGUUCCCCAUUAAUCCCAGCAUUAUUUCUGCCGAAGAUUUUGCACCUAGUUCUACGACAGAUCUGGCCCUGUCUCCAGCCCAGGAUGGAACACUGCAAACUAAAAUGAACUGAUUGAAGGUCUUCACACUGCAGAGGUCGUCGUAUCAAGUAGUCCAGUAAAAAAUUUACUAAAAUAAACAGAGGGUAAAAAGGAAGCCACACACAAAGGCAGUUUUUCUUUCUAACAAGCCAAGAGCACUUCUGUUAUAUUGAUGAAAAGUCAAAGAACCAAAACAGAGCAAAAAAACACCCAUAAGAAAGCAUCCAAACACCACUAACAAACACA